UCUGGUAUCCAAGUGAUAUGUUAAUAACCUAAACAUUCUUUCUGUUUUUCAAAUCGAUCAUAGUCUAUAUAUGGUUUCGCUUUACUGUUCCAGGAAAUAUAUAAGGAGGGAUGAAAUUUCAAUCUUGGCUGAAUUGUGCCGUUUUCCUUCCUGAGAGCACUUAAACGAACUAGAACAAGAAGUUCAGGCUGCAUGGAUGAAGUUGCAGUUCUGACAAAGCUACACAAUACAGAACUCUCUAAGGUCCUUAAAAAGCUUGAGAGACAGUUUAAUGGAUUUAAGUAUUCAAAUUUUGAUUUCUAUACUUCACAUAGUGAAAGAAUAAAUCAUCCCACCGAAUAUGGUUUUGAUUGUUGCAACUUGAAUGUGAUGAUUUUGAGAUAAAAGUGGCAUGUUGUGGCGCUAGUCCGUAGUGAGGUUCCAAGUGUGGUCUGAACAAGUUCGAAUUAUGCGAUAAUGCGAGUGAAUAUCUCUUCUUUGAUGGAAUUCAUCCAGCAGAUGAGGUUCAUAAUCAAUUUGCAAAGUUGUUGUGGAGUGGAAAUCCUGAUGUUGGAGGGCCUUACAGUCUCAAAACACUGUUUGAGGAAUAGCAUAAAUGAUAAAACAAGGUGUACUUUUUUCCAGAUGCUGUAUUAGUUAACCCAGAAGCCAAAGAAUACUUGCUUCUCUUUAUUCUA